rnacentral:misc_RNA from 1 species
CGCACAUUGCGCCCGCCAGUACUCUGGCGGGCAUGCCUGUCCGAGCGUCAUUUCAACCCUCAGGGCCCCUCCGGGGGCGCUGGCGUUGGGGAUCGCCCGCCCACAGCGGCGGGCGGCCCCGAAAUCUAGUGGCGGCCCCGCAGCGACCUCCUCUGUGUAGUAGCGAUACCUCGCAGCUGGAUAGCGGCGGCGGCCCUGCCGUUAAACCCCCCAAACAUACCAAGGUUGACCUCGGAUCAGGUAGGAAUACCCGCUGAACUUAA